GAUGAACGCUGGCGGCGUGCCUAAUACAUGCAAGUCGAGCGAACGGACGAGAAGCUUGCUUCUCUGAUGUUAGCGGCGGACGGGUGAGUAACACGUGGAUAACCUACCUAUAAGACUGGGAUAACUUCGGGAAACCGGAGCUAAUACCGGAUAAUAUUUUGAACCGCAUGGUUCAAUAGUAAAAGACGGUUUUGCUGUCACUUAUAGAUGGAUCCGCGCUGCAUUAGCUAGUUGGUAAGGUAACGGCUUACCAAGGCAACGAUGCAUAGCCGACCUGAGAGGGUGAUCGGCCACACUGGAACUGAGACACGGUCCAGACUCCUACGGGAGGCAGCAGUAGGGAAUCUUCCGCAAUGGGCGAAAGCCUGACGGAGCAACGCCGCGUGAGUGAUGAAGGUCUUCGGAUCGUAAAACUCUGUUAUUAGGGAAGAACAUAUGUGUAAGUAACUGUGCACGUCUUGACGGUACCUAAUCAGAAAGCCACGGCUAACUACGUG
rnacentral:rRNA from 1 species